GGCGACACCGCGCGGAACCCGAGAGCCGUUCUCAGUUCGGAUCGGAGUCUGCAACCCGACUCCGUGAAGCUGGAUUCGCUAGUAAUCGCGCAUCAGCCAUGGCGCGGUGAAUACGUUCCCGGGCCUUGUACACACCGCCCGUCAAGCCAUGGGAGCCGGGGGUGCUUGAAGUGCGUCGCCGCAAGGCGCGCCCUAGAGCAAAACCGGUGACUGGGGCUAAGUCGUAACAAGGUACC
rnacentral:rRNA from 1 species